rnacentral:rRNA from 1 species
AUUGAACGCUGGCGGAAUGCUUUACACAUGCAAGUCGAACGGCAGCACGGACUUCGGUCUGGUGGCGAGUGGCGAACGGGUGAGUAAUGUAUCGGAACGUGCCCAGUCGUGGGGGAUAACGUAGUGAAAAUUACGCUAAUACCGCAUACGAUCUAUGGAUGAAAGCGGGGGAUCGCAAGACCUCGUGCGAUUGGAGCGGCCGAUAUCAGAUUAGGUAGUUGGUGGGGUAAAGGCCCACCAAGCCAACGAUCUGUAGCUGGUCUGAGAGGACGACCAAGCAAACUGGAACUGAGACACGGUCCAGACUCCUACGGGAGGCAGCAGUGGGGAAUUUUGGACAAUGGGCGAAAGCCUGAUCCAGCGAUUCCGCGUGCAGGAUGAAGGCCCUCGGGUUGUAAACUGCUUUUGUACAGAACGAAAAGGUUUCUACUAAUACUAGGAGCUCAUGACGGUACUGUAAGAAUAAGCACCGGCUAACUACGUGCCAGCCGCCGCAGAA